rnacentral:rRNA from 1 species
CCAAUAGCGUAUAUUAAAGUUGUUGCAGUUAAAAAGCUCGUAGUUGAAUUUCGGGGUCAGUAGAUUGGUCAUGCCACUGGUAUGUACUGGUCUCACUGAUUCCUCCUUCCUGAUGAGCCGUAAUGCCAUUAAUUUGGUGUUGCGAGGAAUCUGGACUGUUACUUUGAAAAAAUUAGAGUGUUUAAAGCAGGCUAACGCUUGAAUACAUUAGCAUGGAAUAAUGAAAUAGGACGUUUGAUUCUAUUUUGUUGGUUUCUAGGAUCGACGUAAUGAUUAAUAGGGAUAGUUGGGGGCAUUAGUAUUCAAUUGUCAGAGGUGAAAUUCUUGGAUUUAUUGAAGACUAACUACUGCGAAAGCAUUUGCCAAGGAUGUUUUCAUUAAUCAAGAACGAAAGUUAGGGGAUCGAAGACGAUCAGAUACCGUCGUAGUCUUAACCAUAAACUAUGCCGACUAGGGAUCGGAUGAUGUUAAUUUUUUAAUGACUCAUUCGGCGCCUUACG